UACAGAGGAGGCGAGCGUUAUCCGGGGUUAUUGGGCGUAAAGGGUACGUAGGCGGCUGGUCAAGUCUGGGGUCAAAGGCCACAGCUCAACUGUGGGAAGGCCCUGGAAACUGACCGGCUAGAGUGAGGUAGGGGUUGCGGGAAUUCCCGGUGUAGCGGUGAAACGCGUAGAGAUCGGGAAGAACACCUGAGGCGGAAGCGCGCAACUGGGCCUCAACUGACGCUGAGGUACGAAAGCUAGGGGAGCGAAUGGG
rnacentral:rRNA from 1 species